GACGAACGCUGGCGGCGUGCUUAACACAUGCAAGUCGAACGGAAAGGCCCUGCUUGCAGGGUACUCGAGUGGCGAACGGGUGAGUAACACGUGGGUGAUCUGCCCUGCACUUCGGGAUAAGCCUGGGAAACUGGGUCUAAUACCGGAUAGGAGCCAUUUUUAGUGUGAUGGUUGGAAAGUUUUUUCGGUGUAGGAUGAGCUCGCGGCCUAUCAGCUUGUUGGUGGGGUAAUGGCCUACCAAGGCGGCGACGGGUAGCCGGCCUGAGUGGGUGGACGGCCACAUUGGGACUGAGAUACGGCCCAGACUCCUACGGGAGGCAGCAGUGGGGAAUAUUGCACAAUGGGCGCAAGCCUGAUGCAGCGACGCCGCGUGGGGGAUGACGGCCUUCGGGUUGUAAACUCCUUUCGCUAGGGACGAAGCUUUUUGUGACGGUACCUAGAUAAGAAGCACCGGCUAACUACGUG
rnacentral:rRNA from 1 species